rnacentral:rRNA from 1 species
GGGUGAGUAAUGCCUAGGAAUCUGCCUGGUAGUGGGGGAUAACGUUCGGAAACGGACGCUAAUACCGCAUACGUCCUACGGGAGAAAGCAGGGGACCUUCGGGCCUUGCGCUAUCAGAUGAGCCUAGGUCGGAUUAGCUAGUUGGUGGGGUAAUGGCUCACCAAGGCGACGAUCCGUAACUGGUCUGAGAGGAUGAUCAGUCACACUGGAACUGAGACACGGUCCAGACUCCUACGGGAGGCAGCAGUGGGGAAUAUUGGACAAUGGGCGAAAGCCUGAUCCAGCCAUGCCGCGUGUGUGAAGAAGGUCUUCGGAUUGUAAAGCACUUUAAGUUGGGAGGAAGGGUUGUAGAUUAAUACUCUGCAAUUUUGACGUUACCGACAGAAUAAGCACCGGCUAACUCUGUGCCAGCAGCCGCGGUAAUACAGAGGGUGCAAGCGUUAAUCGGAAUUACUGGGCGUAAAGCGCGCGUAGGUGGUUUGUUAAGUUGGAUGUGAAAUCCCCGGGCUCAACCUGGGAACUGCAUUCAAAACUGACUGACUAGAGUAUGGUAGAGGGGUGGUGGAAUUUCCUG